rnacentral:rRNA from 1 species
UGCUUGGGAAUAUGCCUUUUGGUGGGGACAACAGUUGGAAACGACUGCUAAUACCGCAUAAUGUUUACGGUACCAAAGUGGGGGACCUUCGGGCCUCACGCCAAAAGAUUAGCCCAAGUGAGAUUAGCUUGUUGGUGGGGUAAUGGCCUACCAAGGCGACGAUCCAUAGCUGGUCUGAGAGGACGAUCAGCCACACUUGGGACUGAGACACGGCCCAGACUCCUACGGGAGGCAGCAGUAGGGAAUAUUGGACAAUGGGGGCAACCCUGAUCCAGCAAUGCCGCGUGUGUGAAGAAGGCC